rnacentral:lncRNA from 1 species
AACUAACGCAUCCAAGAAUGACAACACGUUGGAGAAAUGUUUUUGGUUGUCCAAGGAUAGACUUGAUUGGCUUGUGCACAUUGAUAACAGUUCCUGUGUCACAUAGUUCAACUGCUGUUGUCUAAAAUGAAUAAGAUUAACUGAUUAAGCUGCAAUGCUCCCAACUUUAUUUUUGUAUUCUAACUAACAGCCAAUGAAUUUACUCAUCAAGGGAAGAGUCUUGGACAUUAAUCCAGUAACAGUAUACAUUGGCAGAUAUUGUCUAAUUAACCCAUCGAGGGGCAGCACUCUCCCCUUGACGAGUAAAAUCGUCUGGUGGUAGGCAGAAUAAAAAUAUCCUGGCAUUAGCCAGAGAAAAAGAAUCUGGUGUUUAAUAACCCAUUGAGCCACAAUGCGCCCCAGUGCGCCCUACUUUUUUUUCACUUGUCUAACACCAGACGAUUUUAUUCGUCAAUGG